AUUUCUUAUCUUCCCCAUUCUUCCCUUCCUACCUCCUCCUCUGUUGCCACACGCUAGGUCCCCCAUCCACAGCCGGCACUCUCUGGUGGGCGCCCCUCCCAUUCGUCACCAUUGUCGGCGGACACAUAGGCCCAUGCUCUUCCCUGCCCCGCCCCUUCUUCAUAUCCGAUCCCCGAAGUGCUCGAGGAGGCGCUCGAGCUCGGCAUGCUCGCCGGCGACACCGGGGUCCUCCCUCCUCCUGAUGCACUCUCCGUCGCCGCCAUGAGCGUCUCCACCUUCUCCCGCGCGCCGUGAAUCCUCCCUCCCCCCUGCUCGAGACGCCAUCAAGGUCCGGUUCCAACUCUUCUUCUCCCCUCGAUCCGGAUGCUCUGCUCUCCGACACCAUCUUUUUGCUUGUUCGAUUCAGUCUGGAGCAGGAGCAGCUGCUGCUCGCGACCUCUAGUUCCUUCUUUCCAUGGAUGUGCUGCUGCUCGGGGCCCUCCCUAUGCUUCUCCUCGCUCGUACGGGUCCAGGGUUAGCUGCUCAGGGGACAUGGUGUGUUCCGUUUGGCGCUGCCUUCGCGGCCGCCGCCGUUGUUGUGUCUCGUGUGUCGCGGCAGCCAAUGGGUCGGGAAGGUCUGAGACUGGAGGUCCCUGCUCGCCAACUCACAGACAGUUGUUCUCCGACCAGUUAAAAAUGAAUUUUUUGAAGGAGAAGGAGGUGCCGAAAGGGGAUGGGAGCAACAAGUCUGAAUCGAAGAGUAUGUUUUGAUUCUGAGAUGCAUUGUACAGUAUUUUUAUUGUUCUAAGAAAUCCAUGUAGUUGUCUAUGGAGCAUUUCCUUGAAGUGAUGGUUGGGUAUAUUUGUUUACUAAUUCAAACUUCCAGAUUACCUUAGUCGGCAACUCCAAAUAUUUCUUAGAUGUCUUACCGCAAGCAUUGUACUGCAAAAAUAUAUAUACUAAACGGGUUCAUGAUAGAUCAACCAAAUCUCCUUGAUGCUCUCACCUAUUAGGAUAGGUACAUGAAAAGAAGGAUAUGCUAAAUCUGCUUAGUCCCAACAAACAAUCAUUCAAAUGCACCAUUUUACGCUCUGGAAGCAGGAAGUGCAACUUCUUUAGUCUUUAGAAUUAGAAUGGAUCAGGUGUACUCCAGAUGUUUUCAGUUUUAAAUAAUUAUGCACACAAGAGUGCAUUGCGAAAUAGCAAUAAAAAGUUGGAUUUUGACUGGUACCGAAAAGGAUUAGACCUCCGUAGAAACAAUUCGCUGCUGCUGACUCAGACAGAGUUGUGCUGCACCACGUUGAUCUCGUCGUCAUUGAAGUCGUUGAUGGACAUGCCCAUAUCUUGCCGCCUGCAUGGCAUGUGUAGUGACCAUAUGGACAUGAAGCUGAUCCUAUUGCUCAAAGGAUACAUAUUAUCUUUAUGUGUUUCCUGAACUGGUCGGAUUAGCAGUGAUGUUUGCAUCUCCUCCCUCUUCCUACUCGACCACCACUUUCUUCUAGGAACUGAUAGCAUGUCCUGCCAUGAGGAAUUUGAAGCGGUCAGAAGACAUAAGAGCCGGGUCCUAAACUAUGUUAAGGCCAUGCUAAUGUGUAAGAGUUUGCGGGUGACAUCCUCCAUGGCAAUCAUAUUCCCUCCAACAUCCUUCAGGCCAUGGCGACCAGGUCAAAGAAGUCGAACCUGAAGAAGUGCAGGGAAGAAUUAUGGUUGCGUGUGGCUGACUGGUUCAGGGGAAUUUCAGGGCGGGCGCGGCGGCACGGGUGCCGGAGCAGGCUCCUAGGCACUGGCGAUCUGUCGGACGGAUAUUAGAAACGAAGCCUGGCCGAUCCGUGAAUAUUUGAUUGUAGGUGAAGGAGGAGCGGCCGCCCACUCGACGGUGCGGUGUAGGGCGGCGAGGGAGGCCGGCAGGGAGGCCUCGAUGCGGUGCAGGACGGCGAGGGAACCGUCCAGCGAGGCGACGAUGCGAUGCAGGGAUCCAGGCCGCCGUGCAGGGAGGCGACAUGACUGCUGAGCUUCGUCUGGGGCGGUGGCGAGGAAAGGCAGGGAGUGGGGCCAGGGACACGAUUAGGUCCGAUUUCCUUUUUUUGCGAGUUGGUUAGAUGGUUAGAUUAGCGUGAUUUGAGGGGCUGCGGAUGCGGGACGGAGAGUUUCAUAUUUUCCUCUUGUGGAGUAUGGUCAGUCUAUUGAAACUGCUAAGCGCACACCAGAUCUUGAAUAAAUUAAUGAUGACUGUUGGAUUGGGUCGUGUGGGCUUCA